UACGUAGGGGGCAAGCGUUGUCCGGAUUUAUUGGGCGUAAAGAGCGUGUAGGCGGCCAGAUAGGUCAGCUGUGAAAACUCGAGGCUCAACCUCGAGAUGUCGGCUGAAACCAUCUGGCUAGAGUCCGGAAGAGGAGAAUGGAAUUCCCGGUGUAGCGGUGAAAUGCGCAGAUAUCAGGAGGAACACCGAUGGCGAAGGCAGGUCUCUGGGACGGUACUGACGCUGAGACGCGAAAGCGUGGGGAGCGAACAGG
rnacentral:rRNA from 1 species